UGGACUCCUCCAUGAGUCCAUGAUUCUGCCCUUUUUUGGUUUUUUACUUAGCUACCCUAUUCUACUAUGAUUGUGUCAGUAUCUCCACUGUGCUUUCAGCCAGAACCUCAGUGGUUGCAAAAGAAAAAAAAUCUUGGUAAUGAUUGCACAAAGUGUGACUUGAACACAGAAGCAUUUACACCUGCAACUGAGACAUGGUGGAUUUGUUUGAGUCUUUCCCAAAAUGAUGGGUGAUGCAAUUCAGAAAAAAAGGAAAAGAAACUACAGAAGUGCUGGUGUAGGAACAGAAGAAGUUGAAACAGGAAACAAAGCUAUCAGAGAGGAUUAUUUUUUAUUAGCUGCAGACUCACUCAUGUUUUCCAACCUUUGCAUCUUCCUCACUGUCAUCUGAGAAUAUAAAAUGCUUCUGCAUUCAUGCAUCUAAUCCUGUUUUUUGUUUGUUUUUUGUUUUUGUUUUUCAGUUUUGGACUCUCGGUUUCUGUUUGAUAUUUUCUGUUUGACUUUGUAGUAGUUUUCAGUUUGAAUAUCACCUUUGCUCAUGUUAUGUUUUCAUUCUGAUUUAGUAUUCCUAGUUUUCUUUGUAAGUUAUUCUCAAGAUUUUUUCCUUUUCUCCCAUGUCCCCUGUACCUAGUCUGUGUUUCUAUUAGAUCUUCCAUGUUUAGUCAGUUUUUCUCUUUGUGUUUACUUUGGUAUUCCAGCCUAUUAAUCAACCAAAGACUAAUACAGACUUUUCAUUCAUUUUAAACCCUGAUGCUUAGCCUUGUCAACUCUAGCUUGAAAACUCAAAAACCAAUGUAUUUGUUAUCAUCUACAUCGGUUAGUGUUUCUAAAGACAAUUCCUUUGCAUUCUUUCCUCACUUAGGAGAGGUUUUAAAUAAAAAACUCUUGAACCCUUGAUAGAAACAGAGUCAGUAUUGCAUCUCUGUGCCACUGAGCCAGUGAUACUAAGCAGACCUGGCUCCCACAAUGCAUCAGCUGUCCUGAAAUAUCAAUUUUGCACUUGACUUCACACGGCUCGCUCCCCAUUGGCUCAGUCUAUCCAUUUGUCAUUAGCAGACCAUCAGCAGAGUCCAACACACACAAAUGUACUGUAAUAGCACUACAGGCAGCCCUCUCUGAUGAGGGGGAGUACUCUCUCCCUUCAUCCCAGGGGUCUUCAAAGUGUUUCUCAAAAAUCAAAGAAAGAGUCAAAACAGUCUACUCGUAUAAAAU
ensembl:lncRNA